CUUUCUCAUGUUUUUUCUUGCUACAAGAUGGAAGAGAUUUCUUACAUCUCUGAAUUGGUCUGGAAAAAGAAUAGUAGGACAAACAGAUUUGGCUGCAGAACUUACUGAACAGCUCUAUACUUUUUAUAGCUAUAAUUGAGACAUGCCUGGGACACAAUGAGACGCUUGAUUAGGACUUGCCGGAGUGCCAUAAUGUUGCGGUGCAGUGAAGCAUGGUAAAACAAUCCAAUAUAUGAUUGCAUAAAGUAAAGACCAAAGACCUGCAUUUGCCAAAAGAGUUGGUUUACCAUGCAAAGGGAAGACUAGCUUUACGAUUCCUUCAUCUUCCAGCCUGGUUAAGAGUGACUCAUUUUGAGUCCAGUGGAACUCUUUAUCGUCAAAGCUGAGAGUUAUAUCAGAAUCGGUCUUGUUCACCUGCAAGUCUCCAUAUCUACCUACUGUCAAAUAAGGAAAUAUGAAGCACAACAAGACUAAUCACUUUGUACAUUAGCUAUAUGUUUUAUUCAUAUCUCAUGUCAAGCGAAAAGAAAAACUUUGAGACUUGAGAGAAUAACCAUAGUAUAAGCAGAAAUAUACUAAACCACUUUCCUAUU